AUUGAACGCUGGCGGCAUGCUUUACACAUGCAAGUCGAACGGUAACAGGGAGCUUGCUCCGCUGACGAGUGGCGAACGGGUGAGUAAUGCGUCGGAACGUGCCGAGUAGUGGGGGAUAACGCAGCGAAAGUUGUGCUAAUACCGCAUACGUACUGAGGUAGAAAGUGGGGGACCUUCGGGCCUCACGCUAUUCGAGCGGCCGACGUCUGAUUAGCUAGUAGGUGAGGUAAAGGCUCACCUAGGCGACGAUCAGUAGCGGGUCUGAGAGGAUGAGCCGCCACACGGGGACUGAGACACGGCCCAGACUCCGACGGGAGGCAGCAGUGGGGAAUUUUGGACAAUGGGCGAAAGCCUGAUCCAGCCAUGCCGCGUGUCUGAAGAAGGCCUUCGGGUUGUAAAGGACUUUUGUCGGGGAGGAAAUCCCCAGCGCUAAUACCGCUGGGGGAUGACAGUACCUGAAGAAUAAGCACCGGCUAACUACGUGCCAGCAGCCGCCGUAACAC
rnacentral:rRNA from 1 species